CUCGACUCUACUAAAAAUACAAAGUUCACUGGGCAUUGUGGUGUGUACCUGUAAUCUCAACUACUCAGGAGGCUGAGGCAGGAGAAUCACUUAAACCUGGGAGACAGAGAUUGCAGCGAGCCAAGAUCGCACCAUUACACUCCAGCCUGGGCAAGAAGAGUGAAACUACAUCUAAAAAAAAAAAAAAAAAGGAAAAGGAAAAGAAAAAAAAAAUCAUGAGGCAACAUUGCAUUUAACAAUAUUUUAUUUAUCAAAAGACACUUGUCUUUCUCAGGUAAGUGAAGGUCUAGAGAUGAAACGAGUCCCGAUGUAAAUUGCCCCAUGGGCAUUGCUGAGAUCACAAGAUCAUCACUGCAGCAUGCAGCACAAUAGUAAAUUUCUCAGGAUGGAAGUUCAACAAUCCAAAAGGUCUUCCAUCGACGGACUCCCUAAAAAGCCAGCGGCGUGGAGGGGCGCCCUCUAUUGGACAAAUAGAUCUUGACUACUUUCGGCCCUCAAAUAGCCUGACUAGGCAAAUAACAAAUAAUAAUAAUUUUUUUUUAAAUCAUGGAAAAUAUUUUAAAAAACAAUUAAAAAGUUAUAAAUCUA
rnacentral:lncRNA from 1 species